rnacentral:rRNA from 1 species
UAAUGGGUCAGCGACUUAUAUUCAGUGGCAAGGUUAACCAUCUAGGGGAGCCGUAGGGAAACCGAGUCUUAACUGGGCGUUCAGUCUCUGGAUAUAGACCCGAAACCAGGUGAUCUAGCCAUGGGCAGGUUGAAGGUUGAGUAACAUCAACUGGAGGACCGAACCGACUAAUGUUGAAAAAUUAGCGGAUGACUUGUGGCUAGGGGUGAAAGGCCAAUCAAACCUGGAGAUAGCUGGUUCUCCCCGAAAGCUAUUUAGGUAGCGCCUCGGACGAAUACUACUGGGGGUAGAGCACUGUUAAGGCUAGGGGGUCAUCCCGACUUACCAACCCUUUGCAAACUCCGAAUACCAGUAAGUACUAUCCGGGAGACACACGGCGGGUGCUAACGUCCGUCGUGGAGAGGGAAACAACCCAGACCGCCAGCUAAGGUCCCAAAUUACUACUAAGUGGGAAACGAUGUGGGAAGGCUCAGACAGCCAGGAUGUUGGCUUAGAAGCAGCCAUCAUUUAAAGAAAGCGUAAUAGCUCACUGGUCGAGUCGGCCUGCGCGGAAGAUGUAACGGGGCUAAGUAGUAAACCGAAGCUGCGGCAAUAUACUUUUGUAUAUUGGGUAGGGGAGCGUUCUGUAAGCGGUUGAAGGUGUGUGGUAACGCAUGCUGGACGUAUCAGAAGUGCGAAUGCUGACAUGAGUAACGAUAAAGGGGGUGAAAAACCUCCUCGCCGGAAGACCAAGGGUUCCUGUCCAACGUUAAUCGGGGCA